ACCGUGGCUCAGUGGCAGGGCCUCUGUUUUACAAGCAGGACUUCCCAGGUUCAAUUCCCGGCAUCUCUG
rnacentral:tRNA from 1 species